CCAAUUUUGCCUGUUGUGCACAUUUGGAUUCUCUCCAAGGGUGUGGCAGCAUUUGGCACUUGUCUAUGGAGGAGGCUGUGAAGGGGACAGCAGAACACAUUGUGAAUCUGACAUGGGUUUCCAGAUAUAACACACGGUUUUGGUCAGCAGCCUUGUCACAGAAUUUGAGUGGAAGAGGAAUCUUUUACAGUAAUUUCCUUAACAGGAAUCAACUUAUUCUGGUCAAAACUGCAAAAUAACUUGACUUGGAUAACCUGAAAAAACUGAAAGUGGCUGUACACUAAGCACAAAAAGCUUGUCUUUAGUCAGCAGUUCUACAAGCAACUGAGUCUC